GAGUUUGAUCCUGGCUCAGGAUGAACGCUGGCGGCGUGCCUAACACAUGCAAGUCGAACGAAGCAUUUAAACCUGAUUAUUUCGGUAAGAAAGUUUAUCUGACUGAGUGGCGGACGGGUGAGUAACGCGUGGGCAACCUGCCUUACACAGGGGAACAACAGCCGGAAACGGCUGCUAAUACCGCAUAAGCGCACAGUUUCGCAUGGGACAGUGUGAAAAACUCCGGUGGUGUAAGAUGGGCCCGCGUCUGAUUAGCUUGUUGGCGGGGUAACGGCCCACCAAGGCAACGAUCAGUAGCCGACCUGAGAGGGUGACCGGCCACAUUGGGACUGAGACACGGCCCAAACUCCUACGGGAGGCAGCAGUGGGGAAUAUUGCACAAUGGGGGAAACCCUGAUGCAGCGACGCCGCGUGAGCGAAGAAGUAUCUCGGUAUGUAAAGCUCUAUCAGCAGGGAAGAAAAUGACGGUACCUGACUAAGAAGCUCCGGCUAAAUACGUGCCAGCAGCCGCGGUAAUACGUAUGGAGCAAGCGUUAUCCGGAUUUACUGGGUGUAAAGGGAGCGUAGGCGGUAAGGCAAGUCUGAUGUGAAAGGCCGGGGCUCAACCCUGGGACUGCAUUGGAAACUGUUUAACUGGAGUGUCGGAGAGGCAAGUGGAAUUCCUAGUGUAGCGGUGAAAUGCGUAGAUAUUAGGAGGAACACCAGUGGCGAAGGCGGCUUGCUGGACGAUGACU
rnacentral:rRNA from 1 species